rnacentral:rRNA from 1 species
GAGUUUGAUCGUGGCUCAGAUUGAACGCUGGCGGCAUGCCUUACACAUGCAAGUCGAACGGCAGCACGGGGGCAACCCUGGUGGCGAGUGGCGAACGGGUGAGUAAUGCAUCGGAACGUGCCCAGUAGUGGGGGAUAACCAGUCGAAAGAUUGGCUAAUACCGCAUACGACCUACGGGUGAAAGCGGGGGACCGCAAGGCCUCGCGCUAUUGGAGCGGCCGAUGUCCGAUUAGCUAGUUGGUGGGGUAAAAGCCCACCAAGGCGACGAUCGGUAGCUGGUCUGAGAGGACGACCAGCCACACUGGGACUGAGACACGGCCCAGACUCCUACGGGAGGCAGCAGUGGGGAAUUUUGGACAAUGGGCGCAAGCCUGAUCCAGCCAUGCCGCGUGCGGGAAGAAGGCCUUC